UGUUAACUCCUCUGGGCCCGCUGGUGUAAUAAACCUGAGUUCUCCAACUCUCCAAGUGUUGCUUGGUCUCUCGCUGGGAUCCAGGUUGCUGUCACAAGUGAGCUGUAACACCGGGCUGUGACACACUUUUCUGCAACACUAGAACUCAUGCUUUUAAUUUUCUCUUGACUCUCUUCAUUCUGAUGUUUCCUCUGCAACUGAACAGGCUGAUGGGACUCUGCUCGGAAGACCUCCAGCUCUGCUGUGUCUCCUUGGCCCUCGGCUAAAACAGCCUCCUUUUCAAGCUCUGGGAUAAAUAAACAACAACAACAAAAUGGCCUUUUGGUGGUGACAAGGCUGAGAACACUGAGCUCGGCAUGGUUGGCUGCAUUGAGAGAAACAUUUACCAGGGAGGUGAGCCUGCUUCUGCUGCAUUACCAGAGAAGCUACUAACCUGGUGUGACCCUGUGUCUGCUGGCAAGGAGCAGAGGAAGAAAGGAUCUUUGUCACCCUGGGCUCCAGAAGUGUACGGAAACUUGGUCUGCAAACCACUCUCAGGAAGGCAUGCUACAGCUGUGUUGCUUAGAAGCAGCUAAUAAUUCCAAAGUUCCUGUUUGUACGGCAGAAAAUUUACCUUCAUUCUGGCUGAUGCCAGGUGGUGAGCCCUCUUACCCGUGUUUGUGGGGAGUAAUGCAAACAUUGUUUUUGCUAGAAUUACCUUGGAAAACCUCUUAGAAAGAUGUCACAUUGGAAACUGAAAUACUGUUCCUCAGUAAGACCAACUACCACACUUCUGCUGUUGGAACAAAGGCUGUUUCUUAAAGAGGUCAUAUUAAAUGGAGUACUUAUAGUUAGUGUCCACUGUUACACUAAGAAUUGUUUAUUUAAACAUUAGAUUAAUAAUUUUAACAUUAGAUUCUCAUUGGUUAUUUAUAAUGUUUUUAAUGUGCUAUUAGUCUCAGAUUAAUGGUAUUUUGU